rnacentral:lncRNA from 1 species
GCUCUGGAGCCAUCUAGACUCCAGUUUAUAAGAGAGCUCUGCAUAGAGGGCCCUGCUUUUCUGGGCCAUCAAUAGGCCUUCAGCUCUGGGAGUCCUGCUCACUGUCUCCCUUCAAGUCUUCUCUCCACUGUACAACAUCUGUUUUCCAGGCAGCGUGCACUGUGUCCAGAGACAGCCAAAGGUCAUCAGACUCCUAAGAUCAGGAUGGAAGAAGAGCAGCAGCCUGAGAGUUCAGUAUCACCCCAAAAGAAAGCAAAGCUAGCUGAAAUCAAGAGAAAGAAACGUGUCAGAUCACUCUUACCCCAUCAAAGGGACAGGAAAAGUAAACUGUCUUCCUCUCAAGGUACAGACUCUGGUGAGGUAUCCAACAUCCUUGUUGGCAUAUCAACAGUGGCAUCAAUACUACCAAUCCAGAACAUAUGCCAGACAACUGCUUAAACCAGAACAUUCCUGAAUAUAAUGCCAACACCCAGAGUUCUCCAAGCAGGAGUAUGCAGCGUGCCAAAUCAAGGUUCUUACUCCCAUAUUAACCAGACCUUGAAGGAG